GCUGGGCGUGGUGGCGCGCACCUGUAAUCCCAGCUACUCGGGAGGCUGAGGCAGGAGAAUCACUUGAACCCAGGAGGCAGAGGUUGCAGUGAGCUGAGAUUGCGCCACUGCACUCCAGCCUGGGUGACAGAGUGAGACUCCAUCUCAA
rnacentral:SRP_RNA from 1 species